rnacentral:lncRNA from 1 species
GGAAAGGCGCCUGGGCUGGUGACGGUGUCAAGUGUAGGCAAGAAGUACGGCUGAUCAAGAAGCGACUUGACCUCCCUCGCACAAGACUGAGUCCCUUUGCGGCAGGGGCCUUCCCCGCCGCGAACCCUACUUGGAACCUUGCGCCAUGCGAUGUCUCUCUAAUUCUAGGCCACGGAAGCCCUGGGUCACCCUUUCAGCCUGGUUCUCUCCGGUGGUGCUGGCGUGUUUCUCCUGUCUGUUGGGGUCAGCUGCGUCCAACCUCGGCUCCUGCAGGAUUGCCCGGGCAACCCAGAGGAGAUGGGUGGGCGUGGAGGUCCUCCCUGGAUGACCCUUCCCACC